rnacentral:rRNA from 1 species
UACGUAGGGUGCAAGCGUUGUCCGGAAUUAUUGGGCGUAAAGAGCUCGUAGGCGGCUUGUCGCGUCGACUGUGAAAACCCGCGGCUCAACUGCGGGCCUGCAGUCGAUACGGGCAGGCUAGAGUUCGGUAGGGGAGACUGGAAUUCCUGGUGUAGCGGUGAAAUGCGUAGAUAUCUGGAGGAAUACCGGUGGCGAAGGCGGCAUCCUGGACCGAGAUUGACGCUGAGGAGCGAAAGCUAGGGGAGCAAACGGG